rnacentral:rRNA from 1 species
UACGUAGGGGGCAAGCGUUGUCCGGAAUUAUUGGGCGUAAAGAGCGCGUAGGCGGUCCGAUAAGUCGGCUGUGAAAGUCCAGGGCUCAACCCUGGAAAGCCGGCCGAUACUGUCGGACUAGAGUUCGGAAGAGGCAAGUGGAAUUCCCGGUGUAGCGGUGAAAUGCGCAGAUAUCAGGAAGAACACCCGUGGCGAAGGCGGCUCUCUGGGACGGUACUGACGCUGAGACGCGAAAGCGUGGGGAGCGAACAGG